rnacentral:lncRNA from 1 species
ACAUGUAUUAUAUUUCAAUGCUCAGUCUUCCUCUCCAGUACAUAUAUAUUUUAUAUAUAUGGUUUCUAUCUUUCUUUCCAACUUCAUUAUAUUCUAUUUAUAAUGUAGUAUCCUUAUUUCUGAAUGUUUUCUUCUGAUAUUAAAUUUUCUACAGCUGCAAGAAAGCCUGGAGCAUCACUGGCCAUAAACUCAGUCACCUUCAAUGGAAGUAGCCAGAAUCAAAAAUUUGACAGGCUUCAUUUUUUAAAGAAUUUUAAACAGAAAGAAGCAAGAAAUAAGAAUAAAACAGAGUUUCAAAACAGGCUGGUAGGAGAGUAACAAUAAUCAGCACAAUGUGUAUUGCUAUAUUCACAGAGUUGUUCAGAGUACAAAAUAUGAGCAUGAAACAUUGUCCAGAAAACCGGCGCUCUUUCACCUGGAAAGUUUUUAAAUCUGGUAACUGCUAGUAGGGCAUGCACAGCUCUGCCAGCUUUACUUAUGCACACCAGUCUCCUGCAUGGAAUAAAAUGUCCCAAACUCCACUCAAUUAGAUCAUCAGCUUGUGACACUCAGAACUUUUUCAGUUUUCUAACUUUCGACAAGAAUAUGCAACAUACAAAAGCCUUUCUUCCACAGGAUACAUCAUGCACAUUCUCCAUCUUAACAGAACUUUUCUCCCUUUCUCAUAAACUAAAUCACCUCAAAAUGUACUACUAUGAAGUUACAAGCAUUGAUGUAAAAUGUAAUACAUUUUCAUGUUGUACAAAUGCAAUAGUCUGACACAGAGGGAUUAGAAUAAUGAAUUUUAAAACAUCUAUGCAUGUCAGAUUUUGUGGAUAAUUCAAAGUUCUAUCCAACCAAAUUAUAUGAAUUAAAAGUCUACUAUGCAAAUACUCUCAAAAUAUGGGGUAGUUCAAUAGCGAUUAUCAGCUUCUUUAAUCAUGUCAGACAGUAAUAAAGAAGAAACCCCAUGGGGGAAAUGGUACCAAAAACACAGUAUGUCAAAGACUUUGCUGAUCAUGCCAUAUCAUUUUCAUCUUCUUAAAGGAUAGUUUUGCACUUAAAAUAGCAAAAUUUCAUGGUUAUGGAGGAGAAGUCAACAUAAUUAGUGUUUUACUGCUUAUUACAUGCAAGGAGAGGAUAAAAGUAUUAGCUUUGGACCAGAGACACCUGACAAACACUACCUCAGCCAAAGGAUCCAAGGUGACAUCGGUAUUCAUAAGCCAUGUUGACAUGUAUUGACCGGGUGUGAGGAAUGAAAAUGUCCCUUUCCCUCUGUAGCUCUCCUUCACAUAACCAUAUCCACAGUCUUAUCGCAAGGAAAACACUAGACAGAUUCCAAUAUUGAACAUCCUACAGAAUAUCUGACUAGUGUUCCUCAAAACCGUCAACCUCAUCAAAAGCAAGUCAGAGGCUGUCAUAGCCAAAAGAAGCCUAAAGAGACAACAACUAAAUGUGAUGUGGUAUCCUGGAGGUCAUCUUGGAGGUCAUCUUUGUGCAGAAAAAGAAGAUUAGAGAAAACCUGAAGGAAAAUUUCAAGAAACUACUGAUAUCACUUAAUAAUAAUGCACAAAUAUCAGUUCAUUAAUUUUAGCUAAUGUAUCACACCAAUGGAAGAUAUGGAUCAUAGAAAAUAAAUCUGAAAACUCUCUGUACUAACAUCAAUUUUAGAACUGCUCUAAAAAAUAAAGUCCAUCAAAAAAAUUCUCAAAUUAAUCCACU